UUCAACCUGUUUUAAUGAGAAAAAUAUCUAAAUGCAACAACGUCUCCAAACUCCUCUAUACAGUACUCUCCACCUGAAUCGCUGACGAAGGAUAGUCAGCGCCACAAGCGGAGAAAAUAUUAACUAGCGUCUAUACGCUCGGUCUCAUAUAGAGUUAGUUGUCGGACGGCCUUACUAGCGAAGGUAUCAAGUGGCCUUGUUCUGACUAAUAUUGAACUCGUUUCUACAUUCUGGCGGGAAGCGCGCUGUCGGACGCAACAACGGGUAUUUGUAAUAGUAGUUUCAACGUGGGCUCAGAUAGUUCCGUUUUAGUGUCCAUUAUGUGGUUUUAUGAAUGAAAAAUUACAAGUUGUGAAAGCGCACGUCAAUAUAUUAUAUAUACAUAUAACCACACGGUGGUGUAAUUGAUCCCGCCAUCAUGCUACUGUCGAUAUUACGGACGUCGCCAUCUUUUUCUUUCUCUGUCCGUUCUUCGCAAUGUCUACAGACGAUCGCUAUUAACCGACUGUACUCUAUCACGUGAUGCAAGGUAUAGUUGUCCGGAAACGCGUCAGAGCUAUAGUCACGUGACCACAUCGCUCUGUCAUCGCCGCUCACGUGACUGGAUGACGUGUAACCGGGGUCAUGUGACACGAAUUUUAAGCGUUCCCCCGUCCAACGUGCCACUCCGCGAUGUGAACAAGGUUAAACAAUGGCGGUUUCCGCCGUGCACAGUUGUUGACUGAUAAUAUGCAGAGGAGUGAUCAUAUGCAUGGCAGAGUUUAUAGAGGAGGAGCAGGGAGACAAACAACCACACCCCAGCAAAACUCGCUAAUCGCGACCCGAACCCCAUGAAAGUUUUAUUGAAAAACAAACCUGACAAUACAUCAGCUCAAUAAAUGAUAAAGUUAAUUACAAACAAUCCCGACAAUGUUAAUUUAAAAGAAUAAAAGAAACAAUGUGUUAAUAACAAUUUAAAACCCGACAAUCAUCAAAAGAUCCAGACCUGUUGAGCCAAUCUACACUCAAAAACCAAAUGAAUCAUAGUUUCUCUAAGUCCACAUCGCAAGUAACGGGAAUCUCGACCGUGAUGGUAAGUAGCAAUAAAAUCUUUUGUCAUUACAAUAUUUAACAACAUUUUCCAGGUAAGUUGUAACCACUCAGAUGGGAUAUUCUCAACAUUUUUCCAUACUUGUUUCCAAUUUAUAGUAGAAUUUAUCAUGUUAUAAUUUAACUGUUGUUUAUUUAUCAUUUUAUAUAUAAUAAUAGGCCAAACCUUAAUUAAAUUUUGUAUAGUAUUCCCAUGAUUAUCCAUGAUUUCAUUAAUAGUUUUUCUCCAAUUUCUAUAUUUCUUUUUAUUAUUAAUUAAAAAAGGAUACUGUUCUCCCACCUGAGUGAUUCUCUUUGCAGUGGGUACCAAUAUGUACUGAAUUAGAAAACAAACAAGAUGAUUAUAAUUUUUCAGAGCGUUAAUCAUAUGACUUAAAACUGUAGUGAGCACUCCAGACUUUUAAUAUCCCACACUCUCCACCCUCCAUUUACCUUAUCGUUAGUCAUCAUCUUUCUACUCAACGGUUCAUAAGAAUUCAUCCAAAUGUAUUCAUAAAUUAAGGAAUUAAUCUGUUUAAUAUCAUCAACCAUUAAGUUAGUAUAACACAGCAUGUACAUAAUAGUAGCAAUUGCAAUUUUAUUAAUUAUCGUGACGCGCUCUGGAAGAUAAAGCCAAUUUAUUUUCCAUUUGUCAAUUACAUUUUUAAUUUUAUUUACCAUUUCCUCUAAAUUCUUAUUAUUACUGUUUUUACCCAUCCAUAUACCAAGCCAGUUCAUAUUAUCAACCUUUUUAAUUUUCAUGUUUUUACAGUCCAUGCUCCCAUAGAUAUUUAUUAAUUUAGAUUUAUUUUCGUUGACGCGCAUGCCGGUAAAGAUACUAAAAUCUUUAAUUUUAUCAAUAAUUUUAUUCUGACUCUUUUUAUUUAUUACAAAAAAAUUUACAUCAUCGGCAUGUGCAAAAAAUUUUGUUGUGAUUUUAUUCCCUGGAACAUGAACUGGAUCUAUACUAUUAUCGUUUAAAACACUUUGUAACAAUACGUUAAUAUAAAUCCAACUCCUCGUUCAUGUUCCUUUCCUCCUGAAUAUAUGAAUCUGAAUCCUCCUCCUGUUUUUAUAUCGCCUCUUCUUGUCCAUCUAACCUCGGAAAUACCAAGAAUUGAUGUAUAGUGAUAAAGCUAUUUUCGAAUAAGUUUUCUUGGAAAUGGGUAGGGAGUUAAGCCCUAUUAUUCCCUAUAUAUUAAUAAAUCUGUCAAUGCAACUGAAAGCAUUGAAGGAGUAAUUACAGAGUCUCAUGGGAGCCAUACCUACAGCGACCAUACGUACUUUAUUUAAGAGGACAGUCCUUUAUUUCACUGCUCUGUCCUUUAACUUUAUUUAUUUUCUAAAAUAGGCAUUUUGUCCUUUAUUUUGUAAAGUUGACGCAAAGUUUAAAAAAAAAUUUUUUAUAAUAUAUUGAACAAGUUAGUUUUGUGUACGCCAUCACGAUCAGUGUUGCAUUGCUACAUAGAGCGCAGUAGUGCAGUGUGUCGCCAACCAAACGGCCCACUGACAGAACCAGGGGGUGGACACUCUUAUGAGGAUUUUUGUGAUAGUUUUUUAACUCUCUAGUUGGUGGAUGAUACACUUGUUAAUUAAAGCUAAAGUUAGUUGAAAGAAAAAAUGAGGGGUUUCUUCCUAUUGUUAUUAGAAAAGUGGUCUUAGCAUUAGAAAAAUCAGAAAAUAUACAAGCCAAAAAAUUCAAUGAUGUUGUGUACACAUUUUAUCAAACGUGCAUAGAUUAUCUAAAUGA
rnacentral:lncRNA from 1 species